rnacentral:piRNA from 1 species
UGGGUCUACAGGCACAACUGCUGCCUCACAA